rnacentral:tRNA from 1 species
AAUGGGAUAGUUCAAUAGGUUAGAACAUUAGAAUCAUAAUCUAAUAGUUAUAGGUUCGAAUCCUAUUCCCGUUA